rnacentral:rRNA from 1 species
UACGUAGGGUGCAAGCGUUAAUCGGAAUUACUGGGCGUAAAGCGUGCGCAGGCGGUUGUGCAAGACAGAUGUGAAAUCCCCGGGCUCAACCUGGGAACUGCAUUUGUGACUGCACGGCUGGAGUGCGGCAGAGGGGGAUGGAAUUCCGCGUGUAGCAGUGAAAUGCGUAGAUAUGCGGAGGAACACCGAUGGCGAAGGCAAUCCCCUGGGCCUGCACUGACGCUCAUGCACGAAAGCGU